rnacentral:rRNA from 1 species
UACGGGGGGGGCAAGCGGUUGUUCGGAAUUACUGGGCGUAAAGGGCUCGUAGGCGGCCAACUAAGUCGGAUGUGAAAUCCCCAGGCUCAACUUGGGAACUGCAUCCGAUACUGGAUGGCUUGAAUUCGGGAGAGGGAUGCAGAAUUCCAGGUGUAGCGGUGAAAUGCGUAGAUAUACUGGAGGAAUACCGGUGGCGAAGGCGGCAUCCUGGACCGACAUUGACGCUGAGGAGCGAAAGCUAGGGGAGCAAACGGG